GUCCACGCUGUAAACGAUGUGUGCUAGACGUUGGGGAGCCUAGCUCUUCGGUGUCGCAGCUAACGCUUUAAGCACACCGCCUGGGGAGUACGGCCGCAAGGUUAAAACUCAAAGGAAUUGACGGGGGCCCGCACAAGCGGUGGAGCAUGUGGUUCAAUUCGACGCAACGCGAAGAACCUUACCAGCCCUUGACAUGUCCCGUAUGGGCCGGAGAGAUCCGGUCCUUCAGUUCGGCUGGCGGGAACACAGGUGCUGCAUGGCUGUCGU
rnacentral:rRNA from 1 species